rnacentral:rRNA from 1 species
UGAAUACGAGACGCUACGGCGUCGAAGCAGUCUAUGUCAUACUUCCAAGAGAAGCUUGCACUGUCAUAAACAAAUAAUGCCUGUACCAUAACCGACACAGGUGGGUAGGUAGAGUAUACUAAGGGGCGCGAGAUAACUCUCUCUAAGGAACUCGGCAAAAUGACUCCGUAACUUCGGGAGAAGGAGUGCCUUAUUUAUAAGGUUGCAAUAACAAGAUCCAAGCAACUGUUUACCAAAAACACAGGUCUCCGCUAAGUCGUAAGACGAUGUAUGGGGGCUGACGCCUGCCCAGUGCCAGAAGGUUAAAGAAGUUGGUUAGCAUUAGCGAAGCUGAUAACUGAAGCCCUGGUGAACGGCGGCCGUAACGAUAACGGUCCUAAGGUAGCGAAAUUCCUUGUCGGGUAAGUUCCGACCCGCACGAAAGGCGUAAUGAUUUGGAUACUGUCUCGGAGAGGGGCUCGGUGAAAUAGACUUGUCUGUGAAGAUGCGGACUACCUGCACCUGGACAGAAAGACCCUAUGAAGCUUUACUGUAACUUGAAAUUGAAAUUGGACUUUAUUUGCGCAGUAUAGGUGGGAGGCAUUGAUAAUAUUCUUGCGGGAAUAUUGGAGCCAUCAGUGAGAUACCACUCUUGUAAUGUUAGAUUUCUAACUUUGUAUCAUUAUCUGGUCAAAGAACAGUUUCAGGCGGGCAGUUUAACUGGGGCGGUCGCCUCCUAAAUGGUAACGGAGGCGUACAAAGGUUUCCUCUGAACGGGUAGAAAUCGUAUCUAGAGUGUAAGGGCAUAAGGAAGCUUGACUGUGAGACCUACAAGUCGAGCAGGGACGAAAGUCGGUCUUAGUGAUCUGACGGUGCUGAGUGGAAAGGCCGUCACUCAACGGAUAAAAGUUACUCUAGGAUAACAGGCUGAUCUCCCCCAAGAGUCACAUCGACGGGGAGGUUUGGCACCUCGAUGUCGGCUCAUCGCAUCCUGGGGCGGUAGUACGUCCCAAGGGUUGGGCUGUUCGCCCAUGAAAGCGGUACGCGAGCUGGGUUCAGAACGUCGUGAGACAGUUCGGUCCAUAUCCGGUGUAGGCGUUAGAAUAUUGAGAGGAGCCUUCUUUAGUACGAGAGGACCGAGAAGGACAUACCUCUGGUGUACCAGUUAUCGUGCCAACGGUAAACGCUGGGUAGCUAUGUAUGGAAAGGAUAACCGCUGGAAGCAUCUAAGUGGGGAGCCCACCUUAAGAUAAG